rnacentral:lncRNA from 10 species
CUGGAGAAUGGAAGUGCAAGAUCAAGGGUAUAAACACACUUGACAUUUGUUCUCUCAUCCUCAACUCUCAAGAGAAAAUGAAACUUCGAAGAUCACUUACACACAAGCAAAUUAACCUGGUAUUUUGGAGCUGCAGCCUAUGCUUCCUCCUGCCCAAUCACUGUGGACUGUUCUCUGAACUUCAUAAAGAAGCCCCACAAGAGAAGGAGAAAAUCGUGAUGCCUCCAAACACCAGCCCAGAUGGUCACAGGGCCUGAGACCACUGAGUGCUUUUACAAGAAUUACAGCACUGUACAACCAGCAUUGUCUCAUUCACCAUCUUAUCCAUGCCCCCCGAACCAAGACAGGACUUUCUCAAACUCGCGACACCCCGGUUUUGAAUGUGUCUCCUGGGAUUGAUAUUUGGUGCCAUUUAUUGACGAGGCAGAAGGAGGGUGAGAGCCUUUUUAGGACUGCUGAAAGAGAGCCUGCUGAUCCUGACAAGAUCAAAAUGACCCUUGAAACCGUUUGAUAAUGGGCUGAACUCAGAGCACUUUGUUGCUCUCUCUACAUGGUGCCUUUCUGUUGCAAUGUAAGCGGCAGGAAAAGAAAGGGGAUCUGCACAAAAUCCACCCAGAAGCGGAAGUGUGCCUCUUCCCAAGCUUGAACUUCUUCAGUGAGAAAUUCUCCAUGUCCUACACAACAUUUCGAGGAACACUGCUUCCUUUAUCUCAGCCCCCGAGGAGCACCUCGAGCCUUUUCUCUCAGCGGGGAACAACCUGCCAGAAUAAUGGAAUGGAGAGUAGAGUGUUGUGUUGGAUUUCUUCUGACGCUGAUGGAGUGAGCACAUGCCGGAGGUUGCCUGUGGGUUUCCCAUCCCUUCUACAAAUGAAUUGGGCUGGGAGGGGUGCAGGGUGGCUCCUCCAGCCAGAAUGGAGUGAAGAGCUGCUCUUCCGCUCCGCCAUCUGGGUAAAGCUGAACAACCGUGGCCGAGCCUAGUCUUGAGCCUUAGUCAAAGGAUCUGUGGUUGGAUAAUCCCCCAAAUAGUUGAAAGCUGUUUAAGGCUCAAGAAAACACUAAAAGGGGAUUGCAUUCAUUUCUCAGAGCAAAGCUUACACAAAUCUCUCCCUAAGGAGGACCAGCUACAUAAUUUGCGGAGCCCAGUGCAAAGUGAAAAUGCAGAGCCCUUUAUUUAAAAAUUAUAAGAAUUUCCAGAGAGCAACAGCAGAGCAUUAAACAAGGUGCAGAGCCCUUUGGAGGCUGGGCCCUGUGUGAUUGCACAGGGUGCAUGCCCAGGAAACCAGUGGUGCCCUGGGCUUCUAUCUCAUCACCAGCAUCCUCUCUCUCUCUCUCUCUCUCAGACACAAGGGGGCUACCUCAAGUAUCUGUCCUCUCCUUCUUCCAAGUGUCCCCCACAUUCUUUCCCAAGCCAGUUCUGCAGAAACCUACCUAGUCUUUCUCUAUAUGACUCCAUCUCCGUGUGUUAUCCCAUAGCUCCACUUGGCCUCUUGCCUCCUUCACUCUCCCCUAUUUACCUGGCCCAGAUUCAGUGCUAUAAAGAAUAUUGCAGCUCAUGAGAUCUAGUCUUCCUUAUAGGCAGAGGCAUGAGGGAGAGGUUUAGAACACUUAAGUAUAUCUGUUAGUACUUUAUUUAUUCAUAUGUGUUCAUUAUUGACAUGUAUCAUUUGUUAUCAAGUGUUGGCGGUUAUUUGCCAUCCAUAAAAUGCAACUGCUUUCUAGCUCUGAGAAUUUCUGUUCUAAAGUAGGCAACAAAGAUGAUGAUAGAUAGAUAGCAGCUAUUAUGCACCCACUAUGUGCUUGCUAGUAAAGGUCCUGAACCUUUUACACACAUUAGCUCCUUUAGUCCUCCCUGCCAUGUGAGGGAUUUAUUAAUAUUAUUUCCAUGUGUGCAUGAGGAACUGGAGCUUAGAGAGGCUGUGGACUUGUCCUCUUUCACAGCCCCACCAUCUGGUUCUCCAGCUUGGGUUCUUGGUCCUAUCAAGCUAUGCUGCAAACAAAUGAGAAUGAUUAGCUGUUCUCCCCACACUGCCUCUCUGCCAGGCAUAAAUAGAUUCUUAAUUAAUAUUUGCUGAAUAAAUGAAUGUGUUAGUUAUUAGGUAAGACAAGGAGAUGAAGAUGAAAACAUAUAAAAUAGAAAAGAAUAGGCUAAUUCUGGUCAGAGAACUGUGUACAAGUUCCAGUAAUUCCUUAAUUCUCUUGUUCGUGGAGAUUUAAGUAGCAAUUGCUGAACAUCCCCUUCUGUUUGGGGGAUCAGAGGCCUGGUCCAGUUCAUCUUUAGAUUCCCCACAGGCCUCACAUGGCACCAACUAGCUGCUCAACUAAUUCCCUUAAUUGAAUUAAUUUGAAUUGAAUGGAAUUAAAUUGAAUCAGAACUUUUUUUGUAAGAAGCUGGCUUUAAGCAGAGAGAGAUUUAAAUGUAGAUUAAACAGGCUCAAUCACUCUUUAGAAGUACACAAAAUAACUGUGAACAGACCCCAAACAACUUCAGAUACCAAGCCUUCCAUAAAAGCUUCCAAGCCUCCAGGUACCUGGCCUGAGCUUGCUCAUUUUCCAACAGUGAUUAAGGGGUUACAUGAAGUCUUUAAAUUCUGCCACACUCCCAUGAAUGGGUAUUAAAUAAUAUUCCUUUAAGCUACCGGAACUGCUGCAUGGGGAUUCUGCCUCAUCUUUAUGGAUGCGUUGUCAUAAUUUCUAGAAUUAUAGAACUCAACUCAUACCUCCAUAUAUCCCAAGGAAACAAUAUAAGAAGUUUUUCUUCCCUCUCAGCUCAGAGCAUAUAAAAUGAUCUCUCACUACUCUGAAUUAGAGCAGAUGAAUUUAAAGACACUUUCUUGAAUAAACCUCUGGGUUGGGCUUAGGGGAUAAGUUCACUGUUCUGGCAGGCCUCUGUUUCCAAGGAAAACACAAAGGUGAGAAUGUUGUGCACCGAGACUGAGAUGUUCCACACACCACUGGCUGCCUUACCUCUUGCCCCAAACAGCACAAGGAGAGGGAGACAGUAUUGCUCUCAAAAGCUGGUAGUUGGAGGCAUCCCCUCCCCUCUAUUUCUUCCCCUGCCCAUACCCUGUUCCUUGGCCCCCACCCCUUGUAAUUCACAAAGCAAGAUCCAAACCAGGUUCUAACAUAGUCCUGUAAGAUGGGAGCAGCAGUCAUCUUGGUCACCACUCACCCCAUACAAACACACUGUCCAAGAUACAGAAACCAAAGUACAGCUCAGGUAAGUAGCACUAUGGUCUCACACCAGGCACUGUCAAAGUGCAGGGAUUCACACCUCAAAUGUUUCAGUCACUAUUCAGUAAGUUGAGAUUUUUUCCAAUUGGACCCUCAGGCUCACAUCCCCAAAUCCCUAGACAAACCCAGUAAAGACAUAGGAACCUGCAUCAUUAUUGUGUCUCCCAAUUAUUGAGAGCUUACUAUCUGCAAGGAUAAGUAGCAUGCUCAAGGUUCUGUGGACAGCUCAAGAUCCCAUGCAAAGUCCAAGGUCCCAUGGGCAGCUCCAGGUCCCAUGUAUAGCAGGAGGCAAAAACGGAACUGGAGCCCAGGUCCAUCUGACCCCAAGGGCAUAUAUAAAAGCACUGAAGUAUGUUGCCUUUCUAUAGAAACAUUAACCCUUCAGCAGAUAGCUGUUGAAUGAUUGUAGAUGAAACUGAUCUUGGAGGAGAGAGAGUAGAGCAAUCAUUUACAAAGAAAAAGGGAACUGAUCCAUGGGUUGGUCUAUCCUAAGGGCUCUGUUCAUGCCCCAACUUCCAGAAUGGGGAGUCCAGGCACCUCCUGGUGCUUCCCUCCUUCAACCAGGUGUGCGUGUGCACACACAUCCACACAAACACACCCCAGAACUCCAAAGAAGGUUUUACAAAUUAUUUACUUCAACCUUUACUGAGUCUAAAGAAUACUAAGGCUUUGGGUAUAGUGCCCAGCCUCUAAGGAUUUUUAGGGCAUCCCUGCAGGGCCAACACUUCAGCUAUAGAACCUCUCAUUCACAUUCUCUUCCCAUCUCCAAACAUCCCUCUUUCCUUCCAGCUCCUUUUUUUCCUCCACCCUAAUACCACUUCCACUUUGUGGGUUGGCAGUCAUUCUCUCUUCUACCCAGUUCUGUUCCUAAGGAGAGGGAAACUUCAAAUCAUGAGGAUGAAAAAAGGGAUAGAGGCUCUGGGUAGAUUAUUUUUUAUUAUUAUUAUACUUUAAGUUUUAGGGUACAUGUGCACAAUGUGCAGGUUUGUUACAUGUAUAUACAUGUGCCAUGUUGGUGUGCUGCACCCAGUAACUCAUCAUUUAAUAUUAGGUAUAUCUCCUAAUGCUAUCCCUCCCAACUCCCC